UCAUUUUCCCAUUCACUUUUCCAUUCAUUUUCCCCCUAUUUUUCCAUUCUUUUUUCCCUUGUUUUUCCCUUAUUUUUCCAUCCAUUUUUCCAUUCAUUUUUCCAUUCAUUUUUCCCCUUUUUUCCAUCCAUUUUCCCAUUCAUUUUUCCCUUAUUUUCCCAUCCAUUUUCCCAUUCAUUUUUCCCUUUUUUUCCCAUUCAUUUUCCCAUUGAUGUUUCUCUUAUUUUUCCAUUCAUUUCCCUCAGUUUUUCCCUCAGUUUUUCCCCAUCCAUUUUCCCCUUAUUUUUCCAUUCAUUUUCCCCUUAUUUUCCCAUCCAUUUUUCCAUUAACGUUCCCCUUAUUUUUCCAUCCACUUUUCCAUCCAUUUCCCCCCUAUUUUUCCAUUCAUUUUUUCCCUUGUUUUUCCCUUAUUUUUCCAUCCAUUUUUCCAUUAAUUUUUCCCUUAUUUUUCCAUCCAUUUUCCCAUUCAUUUUUCCCUUAUUUUUCCAUCCAUUUCCCCCUAUUUUUCCAUUCAUUUCCCCCCUGUUUUUCCAUUUAUUUUUCCCUUAUUUUUCCAUUCAUUUUUCCAUUCACUUUUCCAUUCAUUUUCCCAUUCAUUUUCCCCUUAUUUUUCCAUCUAUUUUCCCAUCCAUUUUCCCAUUCAUUUUUCCCUUAUUUUCCCCUUAUUUUUCCAUCCAUUUUCCCCUAUUUUUCAAUUCAUUUUCCCCUUGUUUUUCCCUUGUUUUCCCUUAUUUUCCCAUCCAUUUUCCCUUAUUUUUCCCUCUUUUUUUUCCCAUUCAUUUUCCCGUUCAUUUUUCCCUUAUUUUUCCAUUCAUUUUUGCCUUAUUUUUCCAUCCAUUUUCCCAUUCAUUUUNGGGCGUCGCUCUGAGCCCAGGCGAUGCCCCAGGUGCCUUUUCUAAAGCUGGUGCGAGCUUGUGAGUUUGUGUUUUUGUGUAUGAUUAUUGUGGUUCUUGUGAAACUGAAAUCUGCACUUUGGGGCUGGCUUUGGAAUGGGGAAUGAGGGGGUGAAGCCACUUUGGGCAGUGUGGUGGCUUUGUCACCUUGAUUGUCACCUUUGCUGCUGGUGCUGCAUCUCCAGGUGUGGCAGUGCUGGGUUUGGGGCCUGGAUUUGGUGUCACUCAGGGCUGGGGACAUUGAGGACAUUGAGGUCACCCUGCUGGAUGUGCUGCAGCUCUGCCCUGCCCUGUUGGGUGACAUUGGGGACAUUGGGAUAUCCUGUCCCAACCCCUGGCAGGGCUCACCUGGCACCUGCAGCAGGGCAGGGACACCUGAGGGUGACCCUGGUGGCCCUGAGGGGACAUUCCUGCUGCUGCCACCACCAUGGACCAGCUGUGGGUUUUUGUCCCCUCUGUGUCCCCAUUGUGCUGCUGCCACCUCUCUGUGUCACCCCCUUUUUGGUGCCUUUUUCCCUCAAAAAUCUGCAUUUUUGGGGGGCUCUCCCCGCUCUCUGGGGGUGUUUUGGAGAAGGGAUUUGGGUCCAAUCCAGAACUUUUUGCACAAUUUUCAAUUCCUGCUCUCUGCGUUUCCUUUUGGGAUUUGGCCCUGAAACCCCAAAUUUAAUGGCAGCAAAAAAUCCUAAAUCCCAUCCUGAUUUUGGGAAGGAGCUACAANGGCCAGCUUGCCCUGGAAAAAUAAAUAUAUUUUAUAUUUUAUGUAUUUAUUUUAUAUGG
ensembl:lncRNA